rnacentral:rRNA from 1 species
AUUGAACGCUGGCGGCAGGCUUAACACAUGCAAGUCGAGCGGAGAUGAGGUGCUUGCACCUUAUCUUAGCGGCGGACGGGUGAGUAAUGCUUAGGAAUCUGCCUAUUAGUGGGGGACAACAUUCCGAAAGGAAUGCUAAUACCGCAUACGUCCUACGGGAGAAAGCAGGGGAUCUUCGGACCUUGUGCUAAUAGAUGAGCCUAAGUCGGAUUAGCUAGUUGGUGGGGUAAAGGCCUACCAAGGCGACGAUCUGUAGCGGGUCUGAGAGGAUGAUCCGCCACACUGGGACUGAGACACGGCCCAGACUCCUACGGGAGGCAGCAGUGGGGAAUAUUGGACAAUGGGGGAAACCCUGAUCCAGCCAUGCCGCGUGUGUGAAGAAGGCCUUAUGGUUGUAAAGCACUUUAAGCGAGGAGGAGGCUACUGAGACUAAUACUCUUGGAUAGUGGACGUUACUCGCAGAAUAAGCACCGGCUAACUCUGUGCCAGCAGCCGCCGCAG